UGGACGUAUAGGGUGUGACGCCUGCCCGGUGCUGGAAGGUUAAUUGAAGAUGUGAGAGCAUCGGAUCGAAGCCCCAGUAAACGGCGGCCGUAACUAUAACGGUCCUAAGGUAGCGAAAUUCCUUGUCGGGUAAGUUCCGACCCGCACGAAUGGCGUAACGAUGGCCACACUGUCUCCUCCUGAGACUCAGCGAAGUUGAAGUGGUUGUGAAGAUGCAAUCUACCCGCUGCUAGACGGAAAGACCCCGUGAACCUUUACUGUAGCUUUGCAUUGGACUUUGAAGUCACUUGUGUAGGAUAGGUGGGAGGCUUAGAAGCAGAGACGCCAGUCUCUGUGGAGCCGUCCUUGAAAUACCACCCUGGUGUCUUUGAGGUUCUAACCCAGACCCGUCAUCCGGGUCGGGGACCGUGCAUGGUAGGCAGUUUGACUGGGGCGGUCUCCUCCCAAAGCGUAACGGAGGAGUUCGAAGGUUACCUAAGUCCGGUCGGAAAUCGGACUGAUAGUGCAAUGGCAAAAGGUAGCUUAACUGCGAGACCGACAAGUCGAGCAGGUGCGAAAGCAGGACAUAGUGAUCCGGUGGUUCUGUAUGGAAGGGCCAUCGCUCAACGGAUAAAAGGUACUCCGGGGAUAACAGGCUGAUUCCGCCCAAGAGUUCAUAUCGACGGCGGAGUUUGGCACCUCGAUGUCGGCUCAUCACAUCCUGGGGCUGUAGUCGGUCCCAAGGGUAUGGCUGUUCGCCAUUUAAAGUGGUACGUGAGCUGGGUUUAAAACGUCGUGAGACAGUUUGGUCCCUAUCUGCAGUGGGCGUUGGAAGUUUGACGGGGGCUGCUCCUAGUACGAGAGGACCGGAGUGGACGAACCUCUGGUGUACCGGUUGUAACGCCAGUUGCAUAGCCGGGUAGCUAAGUUCGGAAGAGAUAAGCGCUGAAAGCAUCUAAGCGCGAAACUCGCCUGAAGAUGAGACUUCCCUUGCGGUUUAACCGCACUAAAGAGUCGUUCGAGACCAGGACGUUGAUAGGUGGGGUGUGGAAGCGCGGUAACGCGUGAAGCUAACCCAUACUAAUUGCUCGUGAGGCUUGACUCU
rnacentral:rRNA from 1 species